ACCUGCUCAAUGAUUAUUUAAAUAGCCGCAGUAUUUUGACUGUGCAAAGGUAGCAUAAUAAUUAGUUUCUUUAUUAGGAACUGGAAUGAAGGGUGGCAUGAGAAAAUAACUGUCUUUGUUUAAUUUGUUAAUAGAAUUUUAUUUUUGAGUUAAAAAGCUCAAAUGAUUUUUAAAGACGAGAAGACCCUAUAGAGUUUUACAUUAAUAAUUGUUAAUAUUUAAUAAGGAAUUUUAAUUUAUUGUAAUUAUUGUUAUUGUUUUGUUGGGGUGAUAGAAAAAUUUAAUAAACUUUUUUUUUAUUUUACAAAUUUAUUUGUUUAUUUGAUCCAUUAUUAGUGAUUAAAAGAUUAAAUUACCUUAGGGAUAACAGCGUAAUUUUCUUGGAGAGUUCUAAUCGAUAAGAAAGUUUGCGACCUCGAUGUUGGAUUAAAAUUUAAUACUGGUGUAGCAGCUAGUUAUUUGAGUCUGUUCGACUUUUAAAAUUUUACAUGAUCUGAGUUUAAAUCGGCGUGAGCCAGGUUGGUUUCUAUCUUGAAUUAAUUUUUAUAUUUUAGUACGAAAGGACCAAUUAUAAAUAAUAUUUAUUUUUUUAUGAAUAAUAUUAAUGUUACUUUGGCAGAUUAGUGCAUUAAAUUUAGAAUUUAAUUAUGUAUAUUAUUACAGGUAAUACUUGAUUUUAAAGGAUUAUAUUUUACUUUUAUUAAGAGGAUUAAUUUUAAUUAUUUGUGUUUUAGUAGGUGU
rnacentral:rRNA from 1 species